GUUUCCGUAGUGUAGUGGUCAGCAUGCUGGACGCGUGUUCCAGAUGUCCAUGGUUCGAGUCCCGGCGAAGGCG
rnacentral:tRNA from 1 species